rnacentral:rRNA from 1 species
AGUGAACGCUGGCGGUAGGCCUAACACAUGCAAGUCGAACGGCAGCACAGUAAGCGCUUUCUCUUACGGGUGGCGAGUGGCGGACGGUUGAGGAAUACAUCGGAAUCUACUUUUUCGUGGGGGAUAACGUAGGGAAACUUACGCUAAUACCGCAUACGACCUACGGGUGAGAGCAGGGGAUCUUCGGACCUUGCGCGAUUGAAUGAGCCGAUGUCGGAUUAGCUAGUUGGCGGGGUAAAGGCCCACCAAGGCGACGAUCCGUAGCUGGUCUGAGAGGAUGAUCAGCCACACUGGAACUGAGACACGGUCCAGACUCCUACGGGAGGCAGCAGUGGGGAAUAUUGGACAAUGGGCGCAAGCCUGAUCCAGCCAUACCGCGUGGGUGAAGAAGGCCUUCGGGUUGUAAAGCGCUUUUGUUGGGAAAGAAAAGCAGCAGGUUAAUACCCCGCUGUGAUGACGGUACCGAAAGAAUAAGCACCGGCUAACUUCGUG